rnacentral:rRNA from 1 species
AUUGAACGCUGGCGGAAUGCUUUACACAUGCAAGUCGAACGGCAGCACGGACUUCGGUCUGGUGGCGAGUGGCGAACGGGUGAGUAAUACAUCGGAACGUGCCCAGUCGUGGGGGAUAACGUAGCGAAAGCUACGCUAAUACCGCACACGAUCUAAGGAUGAAAGCGGGGGAUCGCAAGACCUCGCGCGAUUGGAGCGGCCGAUGGCAGAUUAGGUAGUUGGUGGGGUAAAGGCUCACCAAGCCGACGAUCUGUAGCUGGUCUGAGAGGACGACCAGCCACACUGGGACUGAGACACGGCCCAGACUCCUACGGGAGGCAGCAGUGGGGAAUUUUGGACAAUGGGCGCAAGCCUGAUCCAGCCAUUCCGCGUGCAGGAUGAAGGCCCUCGGGUUGUAAACUGCUUUUGUACGGAACGAAAAGGCUCUGGUUAAUACCUGGGGCUCAUGACGGUACCGUAAGAAUAAGCACCGGCUAACUACGUGCCAGCAGCCGCCGUAA